rnacentral:lncRNA from 10 species
UCACUACACCUGGCCUCCAAUACUAUUCUUCACAGAAAGAGGAAAAAAAAUCCUAAAAUUUAUAUAGAAGCACCUAAGACCUGAAUAACCACAGCAAUCUUGACUAAAAAGAACAAAGGAGGAGGCAUCACACUACUGGAUUUCAAAAUCUAUUAGAAAGCUAUAGUAACCAAACUGUAUGGUACUAGCAUUAAAAACAGACAUAUUGACCAACAGAAUAGGACAGAGAUUCCAGAAAUAAAUCCAUACAUCUAUGGUCAAUUGAUUUAUGACAAGGUGCCAAGAACACACAAUGGGGAAAGGACAGUCUUUUCAAUAAAUGGUGCUGAGAAAACUUCCAUUCUUCCAUAUGUGGAUAUCCAUAAAUGGAAGAAUGAAAAUAGCUCCUUAUCUCACCUCAUACAAUGAACAACUUUGCCAGGUGCUGUGUAAUGCCAGCACUUUGGGGAGCUGAGGUGGGAGGAUCACUUGAGCCCAGGAGUUUGGGACCAGCCUGGGAAACAUAGGGAGACCCCAUCUAUACAACAAAUAAAAGUAAAUUAGCUGGGUGUGGCAGUGCAUGCUUGUGGUCUCAGCUACUUGGGAGGCUGAGGUGGGAGGAUUGUUUGAGCUUGGGAGGUUGGGGCUGCAGUGAGCCGUGAUUGCACUAUUGCACUUCAACCUGGGCAACAGAGUGUAAAGAGUUAAAUGUAACAUCUGAAACUAUAAAACUACUAGAAGAAAAGAGGAGAAAAACUUAAUGACAUUGAUCUGGAGAGCAGUUUUCUGAAUAUGACUCCACAAGCACAGGCAAUGAAAACAAAAGUAGAAAAAUAGGAUUACAUCAAACUAAAAAGCUUCAGCAUAGUAAAGAAUUAAUAAAGUGAAAAUACACCCCUCGGAUUGGAAGAAAAUAUUUGUAAAUGAUACAUCACGUAAGGGGCUAAUAUUCAAAAUAUAUAAGGAACUCAAAACUACUCAGUAAUAAGAAAACAAAUAACCCUAUUUAAAAUGUGAAAAAGACACGAAUAGACAUUUUGCAAAAGAAAACAUAUGAAUGGCCAACAAAUACGUGAAAAAAUGCUCAAGAUCUCUAGUCAUCAGAGAAAUGCAAAUUAAAACCACAAUGAGGUAUCACCUCUCACCUGUUAGACUGGCUAUUAUCAAAAACACAAAAGAUAAGAAAUGCUGGUGAUGUGGAGAAAAGGGAAGACUUGCAUACUGUUGGUGAUAUUGUAAAUUAGUACAGUCAUUUUGGAAAACAGCAUGGAGGUUCCUAAAAAACUAAAAAUAUAAUUACCACAUGAUCCAACGAUCCCACUUCUUGGGCAUAUACCCAAAGGAACUGGAAUCAGUAUGUCACAGAUAUGUCUGUUCUUUCAUGCUCCCAGCAGCAUUAUUCACAAUAGCCAAGACAUGGAAACAACCAAAGUGCCCAUCAAUGGAUAAAUUAAUUUUUAGAAUGUAAUCUAUAUACACAAUUGAAUACUAUUCAGCCUUUUAAAAAAUAGGAAAUUGGCUGAGUGCAGUGGCUCUCACCUUUAAUCCCAGCACUUUGGGAGGCUGAGGUGGGAGGAUCGCUUGAGGCCAGGAGUGAGACCAGCCUGGCCAGCAUGGCAAAACCCCAUCUCUACUAAAAAUACAAAAAUUAGACAGGUGUGGUGACACAUGCCUAUAAUUCCAGCUACUAGGGUGGCUGAGGCAUGAGAAUUGCUUGAGCCCAGGAGGCGGAGGUUGUGUAGUGAGCCGAGACGGUGCCACGGCACUCCAGCCUGGGCAACAGAUUAAGUCCCUGUCUCAAAAAAUUUUGUUAUAUUUACCUUAGCUUUCAUCUACUCAUCUCCCUCUUUGUGUUUAUUUCUUGAUGCACUUUACCAUAGGUUGAAAACCUCAGUACACUUUAUCUCUAUCAGUAUGUAUUUUAUUUAACUAGAAUUCAUUAUUUGCGUAUAAUUCUUUUUUUUUUUUUUUUUGAGGCAGGCUUUCCCUCAGGUUGGAAUACAAUUGUGCAAUCAAGGCUCACUGCACCCUCAACCUCCGGGGAUCAAGUGAUCCUCCCAUCUCAGCCUCCUGAGUAUCUGGGAUCACAGGCAUGCACAACCAUGCCCAGCUAAUUUUUGUAUUUUUUUUUUUUUGUAGAGAUGGCGUUUCAUCAUGUUGCCCAGCUGGUCUCGAACUCCUGGGCUAAAGUGAUCCACCCACCUUGGCCUCCCAAAGUUCUGGGGUUACAGGUGUGAGCCACCAUGGCCAGCCUAUAAUUCUUUUUGUGUGUGUGACGUAAAACCUAAAUAUAAUGAAAUCACAACUUAAGUGGGCUAUUUCCUGAGCAUUGACAAAUGCAUGUAACUGUGUAAUCCUAUUACGAUGCGGCAUAUCAUCAUCAGUUCAGAAAGUCCCCUCACGACCCUUUCUAGUCAGUUUCCACUUUCCUCCUCCCCUACAAAGGCAACCACUGCUCUUUUUCACUAUAGGUUGGUUUUGCUUGUUCUAGACUUUCAAAUACAUAGAAUCUCGCAGUUUGUAUGCUUUUGUAUCUGGUUUAACUCAGUAAGGUUUUUUUUAUUGUUGAACUGAUUCAUGUUGUUUUAUCAGCAGUUAAUUUCUUCCUUUUGCUAUUUUUUCUUUUUGGGACAGGGUCUCCGUCUGUCACCCAGGUUAGAGUGCAGUGACCCAGUCAUGGCUCACUGCAGUCUUGACCUUCUGGGCUCAAGCAAUUCUCCUACCUCAGCCUCCUGGGUAGCUAAUACAGGUGUGCAUCACCAUGCCCAGAUAAUUUUGCUUUUUCUCUGUAGAGAUGGGGUCCUCACUAUAUUGUCCAGGCUGGUCUUAACUCCUGGGCUCAAGUGAUCCUCCCACAUCAGGCUCCCAAAUUGCUGGGAUUACAGGCAUGGGCCAUCACACUCGGUCAUCUUUUGCUAAGUAUUAUUCCACUGUUUGAAUAUAUCAGUUUAUCUGCUCUCCUGUUGAUGGACAACUAUCCCUUUCCAGUUUUUGGCAAUGAUGAAUAAAACUGCUGCAAGUCCUUUGGCGGACAUAUACUUUCACUUCCGUUGGGUAAAUACACAGAAGUGAAACAACUGGAUGAACGAAUAGGUGUAUGUUUACUUUUUUAUGAAAAACUUGAGGGCCUUUUCCCAAAGUGGUUGUUCAGUUUACAUCAGCAAUGUUCAGUGGUUGUUCAGUCCAUCGGCAAUGUUGCUCCAUGUCCUCUCCAACAUUUGGUGUUGUCAUUUUAAUUUUAGUCAUUCUAGUGUAGUAGUAUUCUCAAUGAGGUUCGAAGAUUUACCUAAGGUCAUAUAAAGUCUGACUCCAGAAGUCCAAUUAUACCAUUUUGUCAUCCUUAAAAAAGUGAUUUAUUGGUCUCUGAUACUAAGUUAUUCUUCAGUGUAUUAU